rnacentral:rRNA from 1 species
AAUCCUGGCUCAGGAUGAACGCUGGCGGCGUGCUUAACACAUGCAAGUCGAACGGGAAAUAUUUCAUUGAGACUUCGGUGGAUUUGAUCUAUUUCUAGUGGCGGACGGGUGAGUAACGCGUGGGUAACCUGCCUUAUACAGGGGGAUAACAGUCAGAAAUGGCUGCUAAUACCGCAUAAACGCACAGAGCUGCAUGGCUCAGUGUGAAAAACUCCGGUGGUAUAAGAUGGACCCGCGUUGG